AAAAUAUUUGUUUACCUUUAAUGGUUUUAUAAUGUGUUUUUUUUGUGUAUUUUUGUAUUGUGUUUGCAGCCUAGUUGUAAAUUAAUGUUAAAGUUUAUACUAAAACAAUUUGACAACUCGGCCUCGUAAUUGUCUAUGAGCGAAUAGUCAACUCGGCUUCGCCUUGUUAACUAUUCGCUCAUAGACAACUCGGCCUCGUUGUCUAAUUGUUAAUUGGUUUUUAAGAAAAGCUAUAGAAAUAGAAUAUUAGAGCAACGCGAUUCCAUGAAAAUUUUUAAACAAUAUGUGAUGGUGACUCAUCUAAAUGGAAGCCUUUUUAUCUAUUUUGCUCAUAUAAACGUCAUAUUGCGUAUAUACAUGAGUUUUUAGUGUGUUUAUUUAUCCUUUUAUAACUGUAUAAACACUUUCCAUUUGGACCUUUCUAGUUUAUGUGUAGUUUAAGAUUUUUGAAUUUGGAUCUCACUGGCAAUAAAAAGUUUUCUAUUCACAAUAAAUGACUAUGUGUGGUUGAUAAGUAGCUACGGGUAUCGGAAAACUAAUGAAUUUAACAUAUUCACCGUUAUUCGGGGUUGUUUUUAGUGUAUAAAACCGUUUAGAAAAGGGGGUCCAUAUCCGCUAAAGGGGGUCCAUAUCUGCUAGGAGAUUUGGACCGGGGGGUCCAUAUCUACUAGGAGAUUUGAACCGAGGGGUCCAUAUCUACUGGGGGGUCCAUAUCUACUGGGGGGUCCAAAUCCGCUGUGACACCGGUCAAAUGCAAUUUCUGACUGAUCAAUUCAGCUUCGAGGAGGCAUUCUUGGCGAUAUCCUUUUAGCAAGAUUCAAUCGCAAAAUGUUUAAUACCAGAAAAACCCUUACAAAUUGACAUAGUAUCUAACGAGUAACGGGUCCGCAACACGCCAAAAACCAAUCUCGUUCCCAGAGCCAAAAUUUGACAGGUAACUCAGACCCACGUGGAACGAAUUUAGCCUGCCGUUAUUUUGAGCCCUGACAAGAAUCAUGAGAAAGAUUCAAACAUUAACCAUAGAGUUGGGCGAUAUUAAAAAAAUCAUCUCCCGAUUAUUGUCAAGGAAAUUAUCACGAUAUUCGAUAAUAUCGCGAUAAAUGCAAUAAAAACAAUGACCACAUUUUUCACAUUUUAAUUGAUAUCAAAG